rnacentral:rRNA from 1 species
GUGGGGAAUCUUCCGCAAUGGACGAAAGUCUGACGGAGCAACGCCGCGUGAGUGAUGAAGGUCUUCGGAUUGUAAAGCUCUGUUAAUCGGGACGAAAGAGCCUAGUGUGAAUAAUGCUAGGAAGUGACGGUACCGGAAUAGAAAGCCACGGCUAACUACGUGCCAGCAGCCGCGGUAAUACGUAGGUGGCAAGCGGUGUCCGGAAUUAUUGGGCGUAAAGCGCGCGCAGGCGGAUCUGCCAGUCUGUCUUAAAAGUUCGGGGCUUAACCCCGUGAUGGGAUGGAAACUACAGAUCUAGAGUAUCGGAGAGGAAAGUGGAAUUCCUAGUGUAGCGGUGAAAUGCGUAGAUAUUAGGAAGAACACCAGUGGCGAAGGCGACUUUCUGGACGAAAACUGACGCUGAGGCGCGAAAGCCAGGGGAGCGAACGGGAUUAGAAACCCUGGUAGUCC